rnacentral:rRNA from 1 species
AGAGUUUGAUCCUGGCUCAGGACGAACGCUGGCGGCGUGCUUAACACAUGCAAGUCGAACGAUGAAGCCCAGCUUGCUGGGUGGAUUAGUGGCGAACGGGUGAGUAACACGUGAGUAACCUGCCCUUGACUCUGGGAUAAGCGCUGGAAACGGCGUCUAAUACCGGAUAUGACAACCGACGGCAUCGUCUGGUUUGUGGAAAGAAUUUGGUCAAGGAUGGACUCGCGGCCUAUCAGCUUGUNGUGAGGUAAUGGCUCACCAAGGCGACGACGGGUAGCCGGCCUGAGAGGGUGACCGGCCACACUGGGACUGAGACACGGCCCAGACUCCUACGGGAGGCAGCAGUGGGGAAUAUUGCACAAUGGGCGAAAGCCUGAUGCAGCAACGCCGCGUGAGGGACGACNGGCUUCGGGUUGUAAAAUCUUUUAGCAGGGAAGUUCGAAAGU